GCUUUAUUACGCUAAACAGGAAGAUGCUCCGGAAUCCUUGAAAAAUUUCAGCAAAGUGAUCUCUAAAGCCGACGGCUUCGUCAUAGUUUCUCCUGAGUAUCAUGGUGCCAUCGCGCCAUCCUUGUCCAAAUUGAUGGACCAGUUUCCUCCCCUGUCCUACGCUUACCGUCCUGGAGCCAUCGUUACAUACUCAAAACGUUGAUUCGGUGGUGUUCGAGCCCAGACACAGCUGCGAACGUAUCUUUCGGGACUGGGCAUGAUACAUAUCCCUAGUGUUGUGUCUAUCGCUAAGGUUGAAGAAACUGUAACAAAGAACGGCACCACAACCAAUGCGCAGCUACUUUCCUCCCUGGAUGCGCUGGUAGAGGAAUUGGUUUGGUUUGCAAAAGCCGUCAAAUAUUACAAACAUAAGAAACAGCUUCUGUUCAAGGGAAAGAUUUGGAUAUAAUCCCACUAACUGUUUACUGGGAGCAACUUCAAGCAGUAUAAUAUGUACUGUAUAUCUGUAUCUUCUAUCUUUGGUAUUGUCCCUAAUUUACGAAAUGACGACAGAAACACACAUAAAAACGUGGGGUCGGUCUGCUAAUGCGCG